rnacentral:rRNA from 1 species
GACGAACGCUGGCGGCGUGCUUAACACAUGCAAGUCGAACGGAAAGGCCCUGCUUUUGUGGGGUGCUCGAGUGGCGAACGGGUGAGUAACACGUGAGUAACCUGCCCUUGACUUUGGGAUAACUUCAGGAAACUGGGGCUAAUACCGGAUAGGAGCUCCUGCUGCAUGGUGGGGGUUGGAAAGUUUCGGCGGUUGGGGAUGGACUCGCGGCUUAUCAGCUUGUUGGUGGGGUAGUGGCUUACCAAGGCUUUGACGGGUAGCCGGCCUGAGAGGGUGACCGGCCACAUUGGGACUGAGAUACGGCCCAGACUCCUACAGGAGGCAGCAGUGGGGAAUAUUGCACAAUGGGCCGACGCCUGAUGCAGAAACGCCGCGUGCGGGAUGACGGCCUUCGGGUUGUAAACCGCUUUCGCCUGUGACGAAGCGUGAGUGACGGUAAUGGGUAAAGAAGCACCGGCUAACUACGUG